rnacentral:rRNA from 1 species
AUUAGGGUGCGAGCGUUGUUCGGAAUUAUUGGGCGUAAAGGGAGUGUACGCGGUUUGUUAAGUCUUCUGUGAAAUCUACGGGCUUACCCUGUAACGUGCAGAGGAAACUGGCAGGCUUGAGUGUCGGAGAGGAUAGGGGAAUACCCAGUGUACAGGUGAAAUUCGUAGAGAUUGGGUGGAACACCAGUGGCGAAGGCGCCUAUCUGGCUGACAACUGACGCUGAGACUCGAAAGCAUGGGGAGCAAACUGGAUUAUAUACCCUGGUAGUCCAUGCCGUAAACGAUGAUAGCUAGAUGUGUGAGGUAUUGACCCCUUACGUGUCGAAGUCUACACGAUAAUCUAUCCGCCUGGGGAGUACGGUCGCAAGAUUA